CCAAUAGCGUAUAUUAAAGUUGUUGCAGUUAAAAAGCUCGUAGUUGAAUUUCGGGACCAAUAUGUUGGUCGUGCCUCGGUACGUACUGGCAUCGUUGGUUUCUCCUUUCUGAAGAACUAUGAUGUCAUUAAUUUGGUGUCGUGGGGAAUCAGGACUGUUACUUUGAAAAAAUUAGAGUGUUUAAAGCAGGCUCACGCUUGAAUACAUUAGCAUGGAAUAAUGAAAUAGGACGUUUGAUUCUAUUUUGUUGGUUUCUAGGAUUGACGUAAUGAUUAAUAGGGAUAGUUGGGGGCAUUAGUAUUCAAUUGUCAGAGGUGAAAUUCUUGGAUUUAUUGAAGACUAACUACUGCGAAAGCAUUUGCCAAGGAUGUUUUCAUUAAUCAAGAACGAAAGUUAGGGGAUCGAAGACGAUCAGAUACCGUCGUAGUCUUAACCAUAAACUAUGCCGACUAGGAAUCAGAUGAUGUUAAUUUUUAAAUGACUCAUUCGGCGCCUUACG
rnacentral:rRNA from 1 species